UUUUAUUUGAGAGUUUGAUCCUGGCUCAGGAUGAACGCUGGCGGCGUGCCUAACACAUGCAAGUUGAGCGAUUUACUUCGGUAAAGAGCGGCGGACGGGUGAGUAACGCGUGGGUAACCUACCCUGUACACACGGAUAACAUACCGAAAGGUAUGCUAAUACGGGAUAAUAUAUUUGAGAGGCAUCUCUUAAAUAUCAAAGGUGAGCCAGUACAGGAUGGACCCGCGUCUGAUUAGCUAGUUGGUAAGGUAACGGCUUACCAAGGCGACGAUCAGUAGCCGACCUGAGAGGGUGAUCGGCCACAUUGGAACUGAGACACGGUCCAAACUCCUACGGGAGGCAGCAGUGGGGAAUAUUGCACAAUGGGCGAAAGCCUGAUGCAGCAACGCCGCGUGAGUGAUGAAGGCCGUCGGGUCGUAAAACUCUGUCCUCAAGGAAGAUAAUGACGGUACUGGAGGAGGAAGCCCCGGCUAACUACGUGCCAGCAGCCGCGGUAAUACGUAGGGGGCUAGCGUUAUCCGGAUUUACUGGGCGUA
rnacentral:rRNA from 1 species